AUUGAACGCUGGCGGCAGGCCUAACACAUGCAAGUCGAGCGGAGCGGCGGACGGGUGAGUAAUGCCUAGGAAUCUGCCUGGUAGUGGGGGAUAACGUCCGGAAACGGGCGCUAAUACCGCAUACUAUCAGAUGAGCCUAGGUCGGAUUAGCUAGUUGGUGAGGUAAAGGCUCACCAAGGCGACGAUCGGUAGCUGGUCUGAGAGGACGACCAGCCACACUGGGACUGAGACACGGCCCAGACUCCUACGGGAGGCAGCAGUGGGGAAUUUUGGACAAUGGGGGCAACCCUGAUCCAGCCAUGCCGCGUGCAGGAUGAAGGUCUUCGGAUUGUAAACUGCUUUUGUCAGGGAAGCGGUACCUGAAGAAUAAGCACCGGCUAACUACGUGCCAGCCGCCGCGGUAAUUC
rnacentral:rRNA from 1 species